rnacentral:lncRNA from 1 species
GCGGAGCAGUUGUCGGUGCAGAUCUUGGUGGUAGUAGCAAAUAUUCAAAUGAGAACUUUGAAGGCCCAAGAGGGGAAAGGUUCCAUGUGAAUGGCACUUGCACAUGGGUUAGUUGAUCCUAAGAGACUGGCUAACCCUGUCUGAUAGCGCGUCUCACGCGAACUUCGACAGGGAAUCGGGUUAAAAUUCCUAAACCAGGACAUGGUUUAGGAAUUUUAUUCCUGAACUGGGAUGUCAUAGUUACAAGAGCAUUCUUGACGGAUUUUACCUAUAUGAGUAUGAGAGUGGGGCCGCUCUCUAUGAGAAUUGAGCU